rnacentral:rRNA from 1 species
UCGAGACCGAAUAUAUCGAGCGAUUCAGAGAACCUGUGAACGAACGAUGGCACUCGCCGUCGGUAACAGCCGUCCCUGUUGUCGGCCUCAUCGGGGCCAUGAUGGGGCGGAUAAAACUCAAACCGGCGCAGCUACGCGCCAAGGUAAUGCAAAUAGACACGAGCCCGCAUCGGGUUCGGUGGCGUGGAGUGCUUUUGCACACCACACGGAUCAAAAUGACUCUCGGCAAUGGAUAUCUCGGCUCUCGCAUCGAUGAAGAGCGCAGCGAAAUGCGAUACGUGGUGCGAAUUGCAGAAUCCCGCGAACCAUCGAGAAUUUGAACGCAAGUUGCGCCCGAGGCCAGCUGGCCAAGGGCACGUCCGCCUGGGCGUCAAGCGUUGCGUCGCUCUGUGCCAGCUCCAUCCCACCCAACAGGUGUGCAUGGGGACGGCCGGAUGUGCAGAUUGGCUCGUCGUGCCCACGAGUGCGACGGGCUGAAGAGCGGGUGAUCGUCUCGUUGGCCACGAACAACAAGGGGUGGAUGAAAAUUGUGCCUGUGUUGUAUCGUGCCGGCCUGAGAAGAGAUCAUACCCUGCGGAUAAUCCCAACCCAAGCGUUAUUCCACGGAUGGCGGCUUGGAAU